UUAAAACAUUGAAUUUAGUACUAAAGGAUCAUUAACACAAUGGUUAGAGUCGGCGGCCCGAUCAGCCUUCUGGAAAUGAUGCCUUAGCUGGCUGAGCUGUCUCAUGAGAAUGUACCGUUUGAGAUCUUAUGUUAGAAACUUCGUUUAUAUAUAGUUACGUUGGAGUCCUUUUGUAAUGCGCAAAUACGUUAUUUGCAAGGACUAGUAUGUAAUGUACGAAAUUACCCCUUCAUUGGCUCUUUCAUUAUUUUACAGAGUAAAUUUCAAUGUUCAUCGUGGGUCAUUGUUACAUUACCAUCGCCAUACAUUACGCAAACAGAGACAACGAUAUAAAAUUGUGGUCGAUGUGCGGUUUGUAAAAUUGACUUUCAAAAACCAUUCAUUUUUAGCUAACUUGCCGCAAGGUUUAGCUGGAGAAUGACCUUAAUUUAAUAACGAUAAAAAGAGAUUUUGUAUAGGUAUGCUCAUGACUGCGUCGUUGAGCUUAUUGAAUGUUCAUUCAGUUGUUUCUCUUAAGUUUAACGACAGCCACGGAAGUCAGGCAACUUACUGUGUGUUAAAAAGUUGCGUCAAUCCUAUGGCGUUCAUAUAAAGUUACACCAUUGAUUACACCACAUGAUUUUAAGGUGUUUUGCAAGAUAUUUAAGGGAAUUCUACCUUCUAUAUCUCGUGGCGUUCCGUGACUUUUGAAUAUGUUUAAAAACGCCUCUCUUUUUCUCGAACAUGUCCAAAAAAGUGAUCUGGUAGAACAACGUCUUUCUGAAGGUUAUUUGAACCCACCAUUUGUCGUUUGAGUAAUUCCACACGAAAAACUCGACACAAGGGCUGAUAACGACGCCAUACGCUUGUCUUGAUUCUUUCCGUAAAGAUGGAACCAUGUCCCGCCUGUGGUGACCGCACGCUCCAAGUGCGUUUUCUGUUGAUUCAAGUUUCGCAAAACGAUGCAGCAUGACGCCCGAUCUCUUAUGCCGCAAGCUCUGAUGCCACUGAGCCUCUGGUGAGAUACGAGUCAGAGUCGGUUAGUCGGUUACCACUCUGGGCAGUUUCAAGGCUCUCGUUCCAGCCCAGUACUGUUUAGAAUGGAUGCUGUUCACCCAAUAAAGGGAUUUCUAUCGCAGUUACCGAGUUACCGGCGGAAUACUGACGCUAUUCUCGACCUCAUGAACACCGCAUAUCAGGAGGGUGGUUAUACGAGUGACCUGAAUCAGCAUAUACCGCGCAUCCUUAAGCUCCUGAAUGAAACGUCUCUCACUCUUAAUAAUUUCCCUAAUACACAAAGCUGCAAACUAGUGCUUUAGAGCUUGUAGGAUGUGGUGGCAAUAUAGACACAGAAUCAAUCGAGCAUAUCAAGCUUUCUUAACAUUGCCCGCAAAUUCGUAGGCCACUAGAAUAAGGGAUAAUGCGUAGUAGCAAGGGAAUGAAACAGCAGCCUAUUUGAGAAAAAAAUUUUUCUACAGGUUCUGCUGGAUUCACGGAAAAAAUCUUGCACCUUUAAAUCUGUAAUAGGUUUUUUGUGUAUUAUCUUCAUAUCCGAACGAUUUCUAACAGACGGUUAACACGAAUAUUUGGACCUUUUUUGUCAUUAAGUCUUCACAUGUGUUAACCACUAAGAUAGCUUUACGAAAAUUGUUUAUUCUAAUUGUCUGUGAUCAUUUAGACUUGGCUUCGUAUGUAUUGACCAGCUUUCCAAAUUUCAUUCAGAUAGUAGCGACCCGGUUACGAUCGAAACUUAAUUGCUGAGAGUAGCGUUUUGCGUGCUCGUUGUGACAAAUUAUC